rnacentral:lncRNA from 1 species
GCUUAAUGAACAAGCCAGUGAGGAAAUUUUGAAAGUAGAACAAAAAUAUAACAAACUCCGCCAACCAUUUUUUCAGAAGAGGUCAGAAUUGAUCGCCAAAAUCCCAAAUUUUUGGGUAACAACAUUUGUCAACCAUCCACAAGGUAUGUGGGGGGCCAGUGCUGUUGAGGUUUGCCAGGGCGUGGGUCCUGGAGUUUGGGGGAGCUCUGGGGGGCAGUUAACAUCACAGAGCUACAGUUGGACAAGAACAGUCUUGCGGUUGAUGGGUUUAGUGGAAAUAGCAAAGUUGAAAGUUUUUCACUGAGUUUUAAAACAUUAAAAAGAUCAUUCAAACUUGAACUGAACUGAGUUGCUUCUCUAGUGUCUGCACUGCUUGGGGAGGAAGACGAGGAGGCCCUGCACUAUUUGACCAGAGUUGAAGUGACAGAAUUUGAAGACAUUAAAUCAGGUUACAGAAUAGAUUUUGUAAGUACCUAACAUCCUGCUUGCCACUAACAAUGAGCAUGUGCCUUGGUGUGGAAGCUGUGUAUUGAUUUCUCAUCUUUUGAUCUUUUACAGUAUUUUGAUGAAAAUCCUUACUUUGAAAAUAAAGUUCUCUCCAAAGAAUUUCAUCUGAAUGAGAGCGGUGACCCAUCUUCAAAGUCCACCGAA